GUUUUUGAACUUAUGGUUGCUAAAAUUGAGAUAUUUAUGCCUACUCUAAUGGAGAAUCAGAAAUAGCUUAGUUUUUUUCUUUGUUGGGUAAUUUUGUAGUCAUGUUAGAACAAAUGAACCAUAGCAGAACAUGUGACUAUUAUUUCAAAAUGAAUGUUGAACUUACUAAGUUUACUUAAACAAAAAAUGGAGGUAUGAUGUUUUUUGCAUCUCACUUAAUGUGCUAAUUUGCACAUGGCUAGUUAACUUGAGUAAUAAAUUUAAUGUAAUUGCUAUCUUUCCUUUCUGGCCGAUCCCACUUAUUGAGAGUAAGACUCGGUUGUUAUAGAAGUGUUAUGACUUACAAUUCAGUAUUAUUUUUGUUUCAGAUGAAACCUACUUUGAUUUGAGGAUUUGCAAACUAUCUUGAGUUCAAAGGCAGUUAUUGACUACUUGAAUUCCCAAAAGACAUGCAGUCAGUGUUUUUUCUGCUGAAAUGAAGAAAUUGCAGAACACAGAAGAAUUGCAGUCAUCAACUCAAGCAUCUAAUGAGCCAAAGAGUAAUCAACCAAACAAUCACACAACUGAUGCACCUGUGACAGACUCAGGUUCUGUAUCUGCCUCAAGCAACGAUAGCAAGAAAGUUUCGCGGCAGGAUAUUGAGCUUGUCCAGAAUUUAAUCGAAAGGUGCCUACAAUUAUAUAUGAACAAAGAUGAAGUGGUUAAAACACUACUGACCCGGGCAAAGAUAGACCCUGCAUUUACAACUUUAGUAUGGCAGAAGUUGGAAGAAGAAAAUGCUGAUUUCUUUAGGGCCUACUAUAUCAGGCUAAAAUUGAAAAAACAAAUACUUCUAUUCAAUCAUUUGCUUGAGCAUCAGCAUCAUUUGAUGAAGUGUCCCAUGCCCGCAAAGGUUCCGUUGGCUCCAAUGCAGAAUGGAAUCCAUCCGAUUCCCGUCAACAACCUACCUAUGGGAUAUCCAGUGUUACAGCAGCAACAUAUGCCAGCAGCAGGUCAACCUCAUAUUGACAUGAGUUGCGGUAUAUCAAUGGGUCAUGUGGUUAACGGAGUCCCUGCAUCUAGCAACUUUUACCCCAUUCGGAUGAAUUCCGGGAAUGAGUAAGAACUUGUCUAAUUAUACAUGAUUUCUUUAUUCUAUUCGUACACUGGACAAAUUGCAACGAAGAUUUUGUCCUUCAUCGCAUCAGAAAUUGCAACUAGUAUUUAUCAUACUUCCAAACACAUCGUUUUCUCCUUUUUGAAGUAUUUUGCUUGAUAGAAUCUGUUAAUACAUCUGUUUUUGUCCCUGUUGAAGUAUGGUAAUGGACCACGGUGCUCCGAAUAUGGCUCGUGGUAUUCCACCAAAUAGUGGAAUGUCAUCCAUGUCAGAUAUGCCAGUAAGUCCGACAUCAGUAGCAUCCAGUGGCCAUUUCCCCUUCAUUGCAUCAGAAAUAUCUGGAAUGGGAGCAGAUACAUCCGCUCUUGAUACGGCAUUUACAUCAGAUGUGGUAAGUUCUGUAGGACUACAACUUGCAACGGAUGGCGGCAACGGAAUUUCUAGAUCCCUGGAUCAAAUUCAGUGGAAUCUCAGCUUAUCUGAUCUAACAGACGAUUUGCCAAACUUAGGAGGUACUAUCUUACUUGCCCCGGUUCUGUUAUUUCCCUAAUACCCCAGAAGUAAUCUGUAUAUUUUGAAAAGAAAAAGGUGAAACUGGAAGACAGUAAUAAGGUUCAAGAAGUGAAACAAAUACUGAAAUGUCCUUCAAAAAGAAGCAAGGAUUAAGGGACAUUUAUUCUCAAUAUGAAAUUGUCUUUCGUUACUUGUUUGAAUCCCGAAGCUCAUCACGCAUGGCCUUUUAAGUAUCUGGAGGCAUCCAUUAUUUUGGCAUGACUGCUACGAAUUUAUAAGUUCACCAUUGAUAACUAAAGUGCUAUGAAUUCCAAGUACAAGGAUGAGUAAAUGCUUUUAAGAUCAUUAAAUGCAACCAAGGACUACAUUUACGAUUUUAUAUGUUCAUCCAUCGUGGACGUCUCAAUACCUUGUUCUUUAAUCAUCUCGAAUUCCUUGCAGAUCUAGGAGGUCUCGGAAACUAUCCUAGUUCACCAUUUUUGCCAUCCGAUUCCGACAUUUUACUCGAAUCUCCAGAUGAACAGGAUAUAGGUAAUCAAUUUGAAUAUAUUCAUCAUUAUUUUUAGAGCUCCUAAAUUUUAAUAACAUUGAUGAAUAAUAAAGCUCCAAUAUUGAUAUCUACAAUGGAUACAAUAUUCAAUAUUAAAUACUAC
rnacentral:lncRNA from 1 species